UGGGGAAUAUUGCACAAUGGGCGCAAGCCUGAUGCAGCCAUGCCGCGUGUAUGAAGAAGGCCUUCGGGUUGUAAAGUACUUUCAGUCGGGAGGAAGGUGUCAAGGUUAAUAACCUUGGCAAUUGACGUUACCGACAGAAGAAGCACCGGCUAACUCCGUGCCAGCAGCCGCGGUAAUACGGAGGGUGCAAGCGUUAAUCGGAAUUACUGGGCGUAAAGCGCACGCAGGCGGUUAGUUAAGUCAGAUGUGAAAUCCUCGGGCUCAACCUGGGAACUGCAUCUGAUACUGGCAAGCUUGAGUCUCGUAGAGGGAGGUAGAAUUCCAGGUGUAGCGGUGAAAUGCGUAGAGAUCUGGAGGAAUACCGGUGGCGAAGGCGGCCCCCUGGACGAAGACUGACGCUCAGGUGCGAAAGCGUGGGGAGCAAACAGG
rnacentral:rRNA from 1 species